rnacentral:lncRNA from 1 species
CCGUGUGUGAUAUGUGAAACCUGCAGUGCAAUAGCUUGUUGCACUCAUGUGAUCAAGAGGCAAAGGAAGGGAACGCACACUUUUUGACCGGUUCUUUGGUUCGACCCAACCGAGAGGUAUUGAGCCAAACACUCCUUUUUCUUCUAUGUGUGAUAUCCACUCAUGUAUUGUCACUCGAUUUUGCUUGUCGUCUUUGUAUUUGAUUGGUACUUUUGUAGCACACACGAGGCAUGUUCCUUGGUACCUUUGAGCUUUUCUAUCCACCCUUACAUAUAAUUAUCCUUUGCUUAACCAAUUUGAGCUGAAAAAGAAAAUGUUAUUUUUGCAAAACCUUAAGGAAUUUUUGAUGAAAAAAGGAAUGACUUUCUUGGAGGUUAGGCACCUAAUUAGUGGUUGAUGCGCAUUGCUCACCACUAAGUUUGGGGUUGCUCUUUGGAAUUAGCAACAAAUAAAGUUUGGGGUGAGGGUACUAGAGAAC